AACGAACGCUGGCGGCAUGCCUAACACAUGCAAGUCGAACGAGACCUUCGGGUCUAGUGGCGCACGGGUGCGUAACGCGUGGGAACCUGCCCUUAGGUUCGGAAUAACUCCCCGAAAGGGGUGCUAAUACCGGAUAAUGUCUUCGGACCAAAGAUUUAUCGCCUUUGGAUGGGCCCGCGUUGGAUUAGCUAGUUGGUAGGGUAAAAGCCUACCAAGGCGACGAUCCAUAGUUGGUCUGAGAGGAUGACCAGCCACACUGGGACUGAGACACGGCCCAGACUCCUACGGGAAGCAGCAGUGGGGAAUAUUGGACAAUGGGCGAAAGCCUGAUCCAGCAAUGCCGCGUGAGUGAUGAAGGCCUUAGGGUUGUAAAGCUCUUUUACCCGGGAUGAUAAUGACAGUACCGGGAGAAUAAGCUCCGGCUAACUCCGUG
rnacentral:rRNA from 1 species